rnacentral:lncRNA from 1 species
ACAGGACACGUUUUGCAGUUUUUACGUGUAUCCGAUGGUUUUCGAGAGGGAUGCCUGGUCCACAGAAACGUGGGCACCCUGUAUUUGUUUCUAUAAUUAUCUGAAUCAUGUCAUCAUUAAAAGACAGAAAGGAGGCAUCAAGUGGUCUGAAGAACUAUUUAUAUCUUUUGAUCAAAUUCAAGAUCUUUCUUCAGAAAAUUUAAUAUUUCUGGAAGAAUUUGCUUGCACUCAUAGCAAUAUCUGUUAUUACUGGUAUUAUUAUAAUCAUCAAUAUCAUCAUUGCAAUCACCACCAUCAUCAUCUUUGCUUUCUAAUAUAAUUUUCUUUUCUACAAUA